AUGGAGGACCGGGAAGAACUUAAUGAUGCGAUUCCUUCCGUGAUCUCAGUGACUGUAUCAGGCAAAAACGAGAAGGGCAAAAUACCGUCCAAAUGUAAACAAGGAGCAGCCACACCAGCAGCAGCAGAAUGCCGCGGUAGUUCGGCAGGCCCUGGCCCCAUGGACAAAGAGAAACUCGACAGUGGCAGUGGCCACGAACUCAGAAAGCCUGAGGACACUCAGCAGCUCCUCUGGCUCAUCACUUUCACAUUGGUGCAACUACAGGAGCUGAAGAACAUUUUCCAACUUGUUCCAUACCCGGACGUGUUAGGUAAGUGGCAUGCUCAGGCGGCACCCACUUUUCACGGAGCUGGGGCUGGGCUCAGGGCUUAUUCUCUUUCCCCAGGCCCCUUCCAAACCUUUCUGAGCCAAAGGCUACCUAGGGGUUUCAAGGCUGCUGGGGCCUGUUUGCCCUCGGACUUCAGGGUGGAGGCAAUGCCUCCUGGACAUCAAGGUAAAUAUUUUCAAGCAACAUUUAAAUGAAUCAAGUGGGGAAACUUUGGCCUGAUAACUAGGUUUGUAUAAGUAGAAUUUGAUUGGAACCAGAACCAUGAUCAGUGUGAGGAGAGUAAGGCAUAGUCAUGCAAGUGGAUGGGCAAAUUCUGCUUUUAUUUAAAUAUUUGAUAAUUUGCUCAUAAUAUUUUGAUUUUCAGAGUAGUGCAAAAGUGUUAUUUUCUGGAAUCCUGAACUUUUUUGUGCCCCUUACAUUCAGUAUGGGGGAAAAUCAUUCCUAAAGACAGCCUUAAUCUGGAUAUUACAAAAUAGUGUACUCGGGGAGAGGUGUUGGGGGAUAAGUAUUUAAAAGCAAGCUUGAAAUGAACAACAUAAAUUUUGUUUUAUCCACAACUCUAAAUACUGAACAUGUGUGGUUUUCUCCUUCCAGAAAGGAACUUGUAAGAUGCAUGAGCAUGACUGAAACCAGUGUGCAGGUCACUAUACCUGAAAAAACUUAUUUGGCAGGGCAGCCAUUCUAAAACCUGCUUCAAGACGUAGAUAACAUUGCCCCAGAUAUUCUGAAGUUGGUGUGAUUUUGUUGCCUUUUCCAGGUUUGGGAAAUAAGUUCAUACUUUGAGUUUUUGUGAACAGAAAAUGGGAUAAGAAAACCUCA
rnacentral:lncRNA from 1 species